rnacentral:rRNA from 1 species
ACGGAGGGUGCAAGCGUUAAUCGGAAUUACUGGGCGUAAAGCGCGCGUAGGUGGUUUGUUAAGUGGAAUGUGAAAGCCCUGGGCUCAACCUAGGAAUUGCAUCCCAAACUGGCAAACUAGAGUACAAGAGAGGGGUGUGGAAUUUCCUGUGUAGCGGUGAAAUGCGUAGAUAUAGGAAGGAACAUCAGUGGCGAAGGCGACGCCCUGGCUUGAUACUGACACUGAGGUGCGAAAGCGUGGGGAGCAAACAGG